rnacentral:lncRNA from 12 species
CCAUCCCAUCCCAUCCCAUCUCCAGGCUGGAUCUGCUCCUUGGGGACAGCUCAGGAGCUGCUCCGUGACCUGGAGAAUCUCCGGAUCUCACAGGAGAAAGACUUCGGUCAUUCCAACCUAAAAUAGCGAUAAAACUGCUCAGAAAAAACCAAAAAAACCUCUGCUCCCAGCUGGGGGUAAUGGGACACACACGGGUUAUGGGAUGGACACACACGGGUUAUGGGAUGGGACACACACGGGUUAUGGGACACACACGGGUUAUGGGAUGGGCACACACGGGUUAUGGGAUGGACACACACGGGUUAUGGGAUGGACACAUCCCUGACAGCAGGAUGGACACACACGGGUUAUGAGACACACACAAGUUAUAGGAUGGACACACACGGGUUAUGGGAUGGACACAUCCCUGCCAGCAGCAGCUCAGCCGUGACCCGGGGGAUGAUUUGUCUCCUGCUCAUCUGUCUGGGCCCCGUCUCCUCCUGCCAUCUCCUAAGUGGAAGCGACUGCGGAGCUUUAGUCCCCAUUUAUCUCCAUGAGGGCGGUGACAGCGGGGACAGUGAUGCAUGAGGCGCGUCCCCGGGCCGGGCACGGUGACACGGCCGCGCUCCGCUCUGCUGCCUCUCCCCGGAGCGAUGUCACCGCAGGGUGACACCGCCUGCCCGCUCGGGGGCUCCGGGGACAACAGCACAAAAGCCAUUUUUCACACCUUGCUUCAAAGAAAUCAGAGAAAUCAAACAAAGCACAACUCGCCCCUGGGCGCGCCGGCGGC